rnacentral:rRNA from 1 species
GACGAACGCUGGCGGCGUGCCUAACGCAUGCAAGUCGAGCGAAUGAAGUUCCUUCGGGAACGGAUUUAGCGGCGGACGGGUGAGUAACACGCGGGCAACCUGCCUCAUAGAGGGGAAUAGCCUUCCGAAAGGGAGAUUAAUACCGCAUAAGAUUGUAGUUUCGCAUGAAACAGCAAUUAAAGGAGCAAUCCGCUAUGAGAUGGGCCCGCGGCGCAUUAGCUAGUUGGUGAGGUAACGGCUCACCAAGGCGACGAUGCGUAGCCGACCUGAGAGGGUGAUCGGCCACAUUGGGACUGGGACACGGCCCAGACUCCUACGGGGGGCAGCAGUGGGGAAUAUUGCACAAUGGGGGAAACCCUGAUGCAGCAACGCCGCGUGAGUGAUGACGGUCUUCGGAUUGUAAAGCUCUGUCUUCAGGGACGAUAAUGACGGUACCUGAGGAGGAAGCCACGGCUAACUACGUGCCAGCCGCCGCCGUAA